rnacentral:rRNA from 1 species
AGGAUGAACGCUGGCGGCGUGCCUAACACAUGCAAGUCGAACGUCCUGUCUCGCAAGAGGCAGGGAGUGGCGGACGGGUGAGUACCACGUGGGUCAUCUACCGUGAGGUGAGGAAUACCGGCGAGAAAUCGCCGACAAGACCGCAUAGCCUCGGUGCAAGUCGAGGAAAGCUCUCUCGAGAGAGGGAGCGCCACACGAGGAGCCUGCGCCCGAUUAGCUAGCUGGUGGAGUAAUGGUUCACCAGGGCGACGAUCGGUAGCUGGUCUGAGGGGACGAUCAGCCACACUGGGAUUGAGAACGGCCCAGACUCCUACGGGGGGCAGCAGUGAGGAAUUUUCGUCAAUGGGGCAACCCUGAACGAGCAACGCCGCGUGCAGGAAGAAGGUUUUCGGAUCGUAAACUGCUUUUCGUCGGGGAAGAGAACGGACGGUACCCGAGGAAUCGAGCCCCGGCUAACUACGUGCCAGCAGCCGC